rnacentral:lncRNA from 1 species
GAAGUUAAAAUUCUGUUGAAUUCAACAAUGGAUGGGGUAGGAUUUAUACUGAGCAUGCGAUGGAAUGAGGAAACAGCAUGAUUAACAUCAAAUUCGUUGGAAUUGAAAGGAGAAUGAGAAGAGAAUGAAAGAAGGAGAGUGUUUGAAGAAGAAAUUGGAAGAAAAUUGGGAAUGGAAGAAAGAGAGAAAGCAUACCUUGUUAGGGUUAAUAACUUUGAAACUGAGAGAGACAACAUCAUUGUUGCUGAAACUGAAUUGUGUGAACUUCACUGUCACUGCUCGAUGCAAGAUAACCUUAUUUUACUUUAAACUUUUUUGGUUAAU